AUUGAACGCUGGCGGCAUGCUUUACACAUGCAAGUCGAACGGUAACAGGCCGCAAGGUGCUGACGAGUGGCGAACGGGUGAGUAAUGCAUCGGAACGUGCCCAGUCGUGGGGGAUAACUACUCGAAAGAGUAGCUAAUACCGCAUACGAUCUACGGAUGAAAGCGGGGGACCGUAAGGCCUCGCGCGAUUGGAGCGGCCGAUGUCAGAUUAGGUAGUUGGUGGGGUAAAGGCUCACCAAGCCAACGAUCUGUAGCUGGUCUGAGAGGACGACCAGCCACACUGGGACUGAGACACGGCCCAGACUCCUACGGGAGGCAGCAGUGGGGAAUUUUGGACAAUGGGCGCAAGCCUGAUCCAGCAAUGCCGCGUGCAGGAAGAAGGCCUUCGGGUUGUAAACUGCUUUUGUACGGAACGAAACGGCUCUGGUUAAUACCCGGGGCUAAUGACGGUACCGUAAGAAUAAGCACCGGCUAACUACGUG
rnacentral:rRNA from 1 species